rnacentral:rRNA from 1 species
GAUGAACGCUGGCGGCGUGCCUAAUACAUGCAAGUCGAGCGAACGGACGAGAAGCUUGCUUCUCUGAUGUUAGCGGCGGACGGGUGAGUAACACGUGGAUAACCUACCUAUAAGACUGGGAUAACUUCGGGAAACCGUAGCUAAUACCGGAUAAUAUUUUGAACCGCAUGGUUCAAAAGUGAAAGACGGUCUUGCUGUCACUUAUAGAUGGAUCCGCGCUGCAUUAGCUAGUUGGUAAGGUAACGGCUUACCAAGGCAACGAUGCAUAGCCGACCUGAGAGGGUGAUCGGCCACACUGGAACUGAGACACGGUCCAGACUCCUACGGGAGGCAGCAGUAGGGAAUCUUCCGCAAUGGGCGAAAGCCUGACGGAGCCACGCCGCGUGAGUGAUGAAGGUCUUCGGAUCGUAAAACUCUGUUAUUAGGGAAGAACAUAUGUGUAAGUAACUGUGCACAUCUUGACGGUACCUAAUCAGAAAGCCCCGGCUAACUACGUG